rnacentral:rRNA from 1 species
GAGUUUGAUUCUGGCUCAGAUUGAACGCUGGCGGCAUGCUUUACACAUGCAAGUCGAACGGCAGCGCGGGCUUCGGCCUGGCGGCGAGUGGCGAACGGGUGAGUAAUACAUCGGAACGUACCUGGUAGUGGGGGAUAGCUCGGCGAAAGCCGGAUUAAUACCGCAUACGACCUCAGGGUGAAAGCGGGGGACCUUCGGGCCUCGCGCUAUCAGAGCGGCCGAUGGCAGAUUAGCUAGUUGGUGAGGUAAAGGCUUACCAAGGCGACGAUCUGUAGCUGGUCUGAGAGGACGACCAGCCACACUGGGACUGAGACACGGCCCAGACUCCUACGGGAGGCAGCAGUGGGGAAUUUUGGACAAUGGGCGCAAGCCUGAUCCAGCAAUGCCGCGUGUGUGAUGAAGGCCUUCGGGUUGUAAAGCACUUUUGUCAGGAACGAAAAGGUCCGUGCUAAUACCA